UUCUGUAGCCAAUCAAACAGCUAGCUAGCCGGCAGCUCCCACAUGGUCGCCCACUGAAGCUAAGCAGGGCUGUGCUUGGUCAGUACCUGGAUGGGAGACCACAUAGAAAAGCUAGGUUGCUGCUGGAA
rfam:Danio rerio chromosome 21, GRCz11 reference primary assembly.